GGGUGUUAUUCUGUAUGUUGGUAAAUUGAACACCAAUAAAAAAUAAAUUUAUUAAAAAAAAACAAAAAAAUUAAUGUUAUUUACAUGGCUCUAAUAAUACAAACCUUAAAUACAGAUUUAACUAAAAAUUGUGGAUGACGUAAUGGUAGUAGGGAUGGGAUGAGAGAAAGUAGUAUAAGAACUAAAUUUCAGUUAUCUUUAGUAAGAAUUUAGUAGGUAAUGAUUAAGGUGAAAAGUUGGGAAAUCACAAUGAGCAUAUAUUUUAAAAUAAGAUACAAAAAUACCUUCCUCAGAGAAGAAAUCUCUAACAGACUUGCAAGUGGUUUCCUGAGAGGAACAGAACUAGAGAUUUGGAAAGAGUUGGUACAAGGAACUGCUAUUUGUAUUGUAAGCCUUGUAUUACUACUGUCUUUUAAAGCUAUGUGUGUAUAUUACUUCAGCUUAAAAAUUAGAAAAAUGAAAGUCGGGACUUAGCAUUAGAUAGGAUCUUUAGUCUUUGUGUAGUAUCCUGGACUCCUGAGACAUGUCACCGGCUGACUAAGUCUUUGGACUUCCAGCCAUCCCCAGACUGUGCUAGGAACUCUUUUUUGGGCCUCUCUAAUUCUCCCUUGUUAUUUUUCUUAGUACAAGCCACAUGCAGCUCUCUACAGUUUGGUUAAGACAUUCUUUAGGAGUCUACCAGAGAGGACAGCUUCAUAUCUGAGGCUCUAUCUCCCUGAAUUUUUACUAAAUUCUAAAUAAUGGCUGAGACGUCAUCUUUUCACCUCAGGGGAAUGAGGACCUUCCUCCUCAACUCCAUCUACUUAAAAAUAGUCUCUUUUGUUUAAUAUCAAUGAGUUCAUUUUUAAAUAAAAUUUGUUACUACAGCA